CAGCAGCCGCGGUAAUACGGAGGGUGCAAGCGUUAUCCGGAUUCACUGGGUUUAAAGGGUGCGUAGGCGGAUCUGUAAGUCAGUGGUGAAAUCUCCAGGCUUAACCUGGAAACUGCCGUUGAUACUAUAGGUCUUGAAUUUUGUGGAGGUUAGCGGAAUAUGUCAUGUAGCGGUGGAAUGCAUAGAUAUGACAUAGAACACCAAUUGCGAAGGCAGCUGGCUACACAACUAUUGACGCUGAGGCACGAAAGCGUGGGGAUCAAACAGGAUUAGAUACCCCCGUAGUCCCUGUCUCUUAUAC
rnacentral:rRNA from 1 species